rnacentral:tRNA from 1 species
GCCUGGCUAGCUCAAUCGGUAGAGCAUGAGACUCUUAACCUCAGGGUCGUGGGUUCGAGCCCCAUGUUGGGCA